rnacentral:rRNA from 1 species
AAACGCUUGAAGUCAGUCGCACCGUUCAGGAUUCAGCCUUGCUUCUGCUCGGUUUACUUCCUGUUGGGUGGGUCAACAUCAGUUUUGGUCGGAGGAGAAAGGCUUGGGGAAGGUGGCAGCAUUCGUGCUGUGUUAUAGCCCCUUGUUCGCAUAC